AGUGAACGCUGGCGGUAGGCCUAACACAUGCAAGUCGAACGGCAGCACAGUAAGAGCUUGCUCUUACGGGUGGCGAGUGGCGGACGGGUGAGGAAUACAUCGGAAUCUACUUUUUCGUGGGGGAUAACGUAGGGAAACUUACGCUAAUACCGCAUACGACCUACGGGUGAAAGCAGGGGAUCUUCGGACCUUGCGCGAUUGAAUGAGCCGAUGUCGGAUUAGCUAGUUGGCGGGGUAAAGGCCCACCAAGGCGACGAUCCGUAGCUGGUCUGAGAGGAUGAUCAGCCACAUUGGAACUGAGCCACGGUCCAGACUCCUACGGGAGGCAGCAGUGGGGAAUAUUGGACAAUGGGCGCAAGCCUGAUCCAGCCAUACCGCGUGGGUGAAGAAGGCCUUCGGGUUGUAAAGCCCUUUUGUUGGGAAAGAAAAGCAGCAGGUUAAUACCCCGCUGUUCUGACGGUACCCAAAGAAUAAGCACCGGCUAACUUCGUG
rnacentral:rRNA from 1 species